rnacentral:rRNA from 1 species
UGCCAGACUCCUACGGGAGGCAGCAGUGGGGAAUAUUGGGCAAUGGGCGCAAGCCUGACCCAGCAACGCCGCGUGAAGGAAGAAGGCUUUCGGGUUGUAAACUUCUUUUCUCAGGGACGAAGCAAGUGACGGUACCUGAGGAAUAAGCCACGGCUAACUACGUGCCAGCAGCCGCGGUAAUACGUAGGGGGCGAGCGUUAUCCGGAUUUACUGGGUGUAAAGGGAGCGUAGACGGUUAAUCAAGUCUGAAGUGAAAGCCCGCGGCUCAACUGCGGAACGGCUUUGGAAACUGAGUAACUGGAGUGCUGGAGGGGCAGGCGGAAUUCCUGGUGUAGCGGUGAAAUGCGUAGAUAUCAGGAGGAACACCGGUGGCGAAGGCGGCCUGCUGGACAGUAACUGACGUUGAGGCUCGAAAGCGUGGGGAGCAAACAGGAUUAGAUACCCGUGUAAC